rnacentral:piRNA from 1 species
UGAGCGCACUAAAAUGAUUACGAAGGCUUU